rnacentral:rRNA from 1 species
CAGCAGCCGCGGGAAUACGUAGGGUGCGAGCGUUAAUCGGAAUUACUGGGCGUAAAGCGUGCGCAGGCGGUUCUAUAAGACAGAUGUGAAAUCCCCGGGCUCAACCUGGGAACUGCAUUUGUGACUGUAGAGCUGGAGUGCGGCAGAGGGGGAUGGAAUUCCGCGUGUAGCAGUGAAAUGCGUAGAUAUGCGGAGGAACACCGAUGGCGAAGGCAAUCCCCUGGGCCUGCACUGACGCUCAUGCACGAAAGCGUGGGGAGCAAACAGGAUUAGAUACCCGAGUAGUCCCUGUCUCUUAUAC